GAUAUCGCCCAUACCACGUUGAAUACGCCGGUACUCGUCUCAUCACCAAAGCUAACCAAUGUUGGGUUCGGGUAGUACUUGGAAGGGAGAGCGCUUGGGAACACCGGGUGUUGAUAGCA
rnacentral:rRNA from 1 species